UACAGAGGGGGCAAGCGUUGUUCGGAAUUACUGGGCGUAAAGGGCGCGUAGGCGGCCUUCUAAGUCGAACGUGAAAUCCCCGGGCUCAACCCGGGAACUGCGUCCGAUACUGGAAGGCUUGAAUCCGGGAGAGGGAUGUGGAAUUCCAGGUGUAGCGGUGAAAUGCGUAGAUAUCUGGAGGAACACCGGUGGCGAAGGCGGCAUCCUGGACCGGUAUUGACGCUGAUGCGCGAAAGCCAGGGGAGCAAACGGG
rnacentral:rRNA from 1 species